AUGGGCGCAAGCCUGAUCCAGCAAUGCCGCGUGUGUGAAGAAGGUCUUCGGAUUGUAAAGCACUUUAAGUUGGGAGGGAGGGCAGUAAAUUAAUACUUUGCUGUUUUGACGUUACCGACAGAAUAAGCACCGGCUAACUCUGUGCCAGCAGCCGCGGUAAUACAGAGGGUGCAAGCGUUAAUCGGAAUUACCUGGGCGUAAAGCGCGCGUAGGUGGUCGUUUAAGUCCGUUGUGAAAUCCCUGGGCUCAACCUGGGAAUGGCAGUGGAUACUGGACGGCUAGAAUGCGGUAGAGGGUAGUGGAAUUCCCGGUGUAGCAGUGAAAUGCGUAGAGAUCGGGAGGAACACCAGUGGCGAAGGCGGCUACCUGGACCAGCAUUGACACUCAAGCACGAAAGCGUGGGGAGCAAACAGGAUUAGAUACCCUGGUAGUCCACGCCCUAAACGAUGCGAACUGGACGUUGGGAGCAACUUGGCUCUCAGUGUCGAAGCUAACGCGUUAAGUUCGCCGCCUGGGGAGUACGGUCGCA
rnacentral:rRNA from 1 species